UGGGGAAUAUUGGACAAUGGGGGGAACCCUGAUCCAGCAAUGCCGCGUGUGUGAAGAAGGCCUGAGGGUUGUAAAGCACUUUCAGUGGGGAGGAGGUUUAUUGGGUUAAGAGCUAGAUAGAUGGACGUUACCCACAGAAGAAGCACCGGCUAACUCCGUGCCAGCAGCCGCGGUAAUACGGAGGGUGCAAGCGUUAAUCGGAAUUACUGGGCGUAAAGGGUGCGUAGGUUGUUUUUUAAGUUAUCUGUAAAAUCCCUGGGCUCAACCUGGGCAAGUCAGAUAAGACUGAGAGACUCGAGUAUAGGAGAGGGUAGUGGAAUUUCCGGUGUAGCGGUGAAAUGCGUAGAGAUCGGAAGGAACACCAGUGGCGAAGGCGGCUACCUGGCCUAAUACUGACACUGAGGCACGAAAGCGUGGGGAGCAAACAGGAUUAGAUACCCCCGUAGUCC
rnacentral:rRNA from 1 species